CCCUUAGAUGUUCUGGGCAGCACGCGCGCUACAAUGGUCUUCGCAAACGGAUGCAUUCUCGAAGGAGGAUGCCAAUCUUGGAAUCUAUGCCUUGGUCGGGACAGUUGCUUGCAAUUUUUCGACUCGAACCAGGAAUUCCUUGUAAUCGUGAUUCAUCACAUCACGAUGAAUACGUCCCUGCCCUUUGUACACACCGCCCGUCGCUCCUACCGAUCGAAGAGUUAGGUGAAUUGUUUUGAUCGAUAAGAUUUGACUAUGGUCAACUCUCGUUGUGAAAUUCUGUGAAUCUGACUGUUUAGAGGAAGGAAAAGUCGUAACA
rnacentral:rRNA from 1 species